rnacentral:rRNA from 1 species
CUUAACCUGGGAAUGGCAUUCGAAACUGGUCAGCUAGAGUUUGGUAGAGGUAAGCGGAAUUCCGGGUGUAGCGGUGAAAUGCGUAGAUAUCCGGAGGAACAUCAGUGGCGAAGGCGGCUUACUGGACCAAAACUGACGCUCAGGCACGAAAGCGUGGGUAGCAAACAGGAUUAGAUACCCUGGUAGUCCACGCCCCAAACUAUGUCAACUAGCCGUUGGGUCCCCUUAAUAGGACUUAGUGGCGAAGCUAACGCGUUAAGUUGACCGCCUGGGGAGUACGGCCGCAAGGUUGAAGCUCAAAGGAAUUGACGGGGGCCCGCACAAGCGGUGGAGCAUGUGGUUUAAUUCGAUGCAACGCGAAGAACCUUACCAGCCCUUGACAUCCUCGGAACUUGGUAGAGAUACCUUGGUGCCUUCGGGAACCG